GGAAAGUUAAGAGAGAUAGAUUGUAUUUCUUACAACUAGAAGAGGUGGGCAUGUGGAAUAAACUUGGGUUUAACUUUAAACUGAUAUUGUAAUCUGUUUGGUGAGAUAAAGCUUCAAAAAGAGAAAGAGGCAGCAGCAAUCUUGCCAUUGUCUCAGGAGUAAGAAUAUGCAUUCAUGUUUUCUCUUUGUCUUUCCUCACCCUCUUCUAUUUUUCCUUUUCCUUUUGUCUUUUUCCCAAUUUCCCUAGAACCGUAACUAAAAUAAAGUAUUUUAUCUACCUACCUGUCUCUUCUUUGCAGGAAAACAUUUCCAUCUGGCUUUCCUCUGUCUGACUUAAACAAUGAUUUUCCAUCCUACCUGAACAUUAUAAUCAUCUGGAAGAGUUUUUUAAAAUACAGAUGCUAUUGCUACACCCAUGGAGCUUGUGUCUUACCAUCUGAUAUGGUUUGGCUGUGUCCGCACUCAACUCUCAUCAUGAAUUGUAGUUCCCGUAAUCCCCAUGUGUCAUGGGAGAGGCCUAGUGGAAGGAAAGAUGAUGAAAGAAGGGCUAGCCUGAAAGAAACUUCUGCCUUCUUUGGAAAUGAGAUGCAAAAAGUAUGGCUCCCUGCUACAACAAAAAUGGAUCCCCCAAGGAGGACAUAACUGGAAUUGCUGUCAUUGUUACCCCUUUGAAAAUCUCAGCCAGCUAGAGGACCAGAGACAUUCUCAUCAAGAUUAAAGCCAGAGCAACCACCACCAACAAAUGAUGACAAAUCCCUGCCAGGAUUGGAGUGGGUUUGAAUGGCAUAGCUGGCCCCUGGUACUCCUGAGUGGUUAGAUCGUCAGUCUUACCUGUUCAUUUUGUUAACCUCAUAGUAGUACAGCAACAUAUUUUACUUGUUUGAAUUGUUUGUGUUAGAAUCAGGUAUUAACCUUGUAGGCAACAUGGAUAAUAUAUUUCUGUAGUUCAACAUAAUUUCCAUUUUAAAUUCACAAUUUAUUAGAGCAGCAGAAAAUAAUGUCAAUAAAAUUGAAGCCUCUUUUUCUUAAGGGAUUGUGCCUAAGGAGCUUACUUAAUUCCAAGACUGGGUGUGUGGUGAGGAGGGGAGAAAAUGGAGAGGACGCUAUGCCUCAUUAUUUCCUAAGAUGCUCAUCAUUCCAAAUGAUCAUCCAUCACUGGUCUUAAGGUCACUUUUGUCUUCUGGUCUCUUUGGGUCUGAAAGAUCUCUGCUAUGUCCAUUAUUCAGGUGGGGGUUUGGAAAUAACUGCAACCUAUCUAGAAACUCAUCUGCCAAAUGAACUUCGCAACAAUUUCCUAUGUGGGGGCAUAUCACCUUCCUGAGACUCUGCCUGAGGUAAAGGCACAGAGCCUCACUCCCUUGAUCAAGCUUCCUUCCAUCCUUCUUACUCCAACCUGUUUUCUGUUUGCCACAGAAAUCUCACCUUCUUUCAGAGACACAAAGGGAACUCUACCCCAAGAUCAAUUUUAUAAAGGCUCAUAAUUCCAGUUCUCUCUUGAUAAUAGAGCAGUCUCGAAAUCAGUUACUAAAUGUAGGGUGGAUUAAUUUUAGAUCUUGUGUAUAGGACUUGGUCUGAAUCCUUUAAAAUCGUAGGUAUAUACUUUACAUAAGCCUUACCCCAAGGGCAGCCAUAAUUUUCUUUCAACCAUAUUUUGUAGGCUGGUGAGUCCUGCACCUGCCCCAAGUUUCAGGCAAUUAACUUGACUGUGGUCUCCUGCCAUGCACACUGAGCUUUAGCUCUCAUUAAUCUGUGGGAGACAAAUUCUAGCUUCCUCUAGACUGAGAACCAGCAGGCCUAGCUCCAGUCUCUAAUCACUAACUUAUCACUGUGACAUUUUUUUCCCUUUCUGGUCUGUGGAGAUAUUUCUCUUCUUUUGAGUUUACCAUAUCUUAGUCAUUUUGCCAUUCUUUAAAAUUAUUCUUUGACUGCUAAGCUUGGAGUUGAUGGAGAAGUUCAAGCCUAAACUCAUAAUGUCAUCCUGACCCUUGGUCCCAAACUGUUGGUAUCUGAUUAUCUAGUUCUCAGGGUGAAUUUGGAUAUUUGUAGACUUGAAGGCCCAAAUAGACAAGUGGACACUCCAUGUUAAUCAUAGCCCAACUUAUCCUAGAAAGAAAAUUAAGUUUAAUUAAGUUCCUCAAUAUAUUUCACCUAAGAUGCAAGAACAAAUAAACCCUGAAAAAUAUUUUUUAUAGUGAAGCCCUUGCUCAGAGAAAAAACAGAACAAAACCUCAAGAACUGUGAUUAAUUAUACUAAAGGAUAUUUUCAGGCAUGGACUUGUCUUGAAAACGUGCUGUUGGGCCUAAUUGUAUUUACAGUUCACACUCAUAUAUAGAGCACUGGUAGACCAGUCAGUGAGUGAAUGAUUAUAGUCCUAUUUUUGGCUUGAACAUUCAUCAAUGUGUGAGUGUUGGCAGGAAAGCCACUAAACUUUUCACAGUAUGUCUUCUCAUUGUAAAAUGGAAAUAUUAAUUCCUGCCAUUAUUGUGGUAUGGUUAUGAAGAACAAACAAAACACAGCCAAAUGAUGCUAUAAAUCUGUUUUGAGAUUAUCCCUGGCACAUUUACCUAGUAAAAUUUUGCAUUCAUUUUGCAUAGUAAAAUGAAUAGUUGUUAUUUUAAAAGAGGGUAAAAAAAAUAAGCUAAGUAAUUCAAGAAUCUAAAAACAACUAUAAAAUAAGCAAUACAUUAAACAAAUAUUAAAAUUACUUAACCAAAAAGAAAGCUAUUUUGUUUAAAAGAUUAGUAGAAUUAAGACGAGAUUUUAAAUGUCUCUUUCUACUGAGGUUAAUGCUAAAAAAUUGUAUCUUUGAGUUUUUUUUUCUUUUUUUAGAAAAUGAUAGUGGAAAAAUUUUUAUCAGAAGAAAGCUUAAAAGCAUAGGUAAAAUUAGCCUUUUUUUCUAGAGAAAAUAUAAGUAUCAAAAAUGACAGAAGGAAUAGAUCAAUUAAAUACUGUAAAGAGUAUAUAGCUAAAAAUAAUCAAUUCCCAAUGUCUCAAAAUUCACCUUAUAGUACUAAUUAUAACUGUGGCCAAAUCUCCAAGGUACAGAUAAUGCUUAUAUAUUAUGACCUUUCCAGACACUAUAAAAAGAGGACAACCUGUCAAGAAAGUUUAUUACUAUCUUUGGUUUUUCAUGUUAUGAUUGUUUAUCUGCUAAGAAAUUAUUGGAACUGUUAUUACAGUUUGUUAUUAAUGCCAAAAAUUAGAUCGAUAUGCAAAGGCCAAUGGAAGAAAUAGUUAGCAACAAUAAGAGAAAAAAGUAUAUAGAGAAAAAAUAUCUAAAAUAUCAGAAAAACCUUUAUGAUAUCAAAGAAUGUAAUAAAAGUAAAACCAUUAUAGAAUAAUAAUUUUUAAAAUAUUUGUGAAAGAUAUGUAUGAAUACCAAAACAGGUGGUAAAAAUCUUGUUAUGGAUAAGAAAAUUCACGGCCAUAAAGCUGUCAAUUUUUUUCAAAAUUAAAGGGCAACCUCCCUCUAGGAUUUUUAAUGUACAUACUAACUUGGUGCAAAAGUCAUUGCAGUUUUUGCCAUUACUUUAAUAGCAAAAACUAAAAAUAACCAAAAUGUCUGGUAGGGGGUCUGCCUGAGCAAGUAUUAAAACAUAAGUAACAAUAAUUAAAGCAGCAUUAUAUUGGCACAGAAAUAGGUAUGAAGGAAUUAAGAGCUGAGGUAGAGUCUCAAGUUUAUACAUAAUUUUUUAUUGUUGAACAAUUCUAUGGAGAUAAGUUUUGCAUACAAAAAUUUCAUGUUUAAAGAAAUAAUUUGGUGUUUUGAGAUAUGUAUUUAUGCAUGUUAAAAAAUUGAUCACUCACAAAAAUUUCCUCCACUUUGUACUCUCUUUCUUAGAGUCCUUCCCAUUCUAGGAAGCCAAUGAUUGUCUUUCUAUCAUUAGAGACUAGUUUGCAUUUUUAAGCAUUUUAUAUGAAUGGAGUAAUACAAUGCAUACUCUCAUUUUGUCUGGCUUAUUUCACUCAGUGUAAGAGAUGUCUCAAACCUGUUGCCAACAGUUUUGCAUCAAUAGUUAAUUCUUUUCAUUGCUGAGUAGUAUUCCAUUGUAUAGAUGUAUCAUAAUUUAUCUGCUUACACACUGAUGGACAUUUGGAUUCUUUCCAGUUUUUGGCUAUUAUCAUAAAAGUUUCUUGAAGAAUUUUAUAAAAGUCUUGGUAUGAAUAUUUUCAUUCAUUUCUGCUGGGUACAAACUUAGGAGUGGAGUGUCUGGAACAUAUGGUAGAUGCAUGUUUAACAUUUUAAGAAACUGCCAAAUCAUUUUCCAAAAUACAUGUAUUACUAGGAUAAGUUAGAGUGAAUUAUCUCCAUACCCUCUUGAAAUAGGUUGACCAUGUCAAUCUAUUUUUAUGUAGUCAUUAUACUGAGUGUGCAGUGGUAUGGCCAUGUCAAUCUAUUUUUAUGUAGUCAUUAUACUGAGUGUGCAGUGGUAUGGCCAUGUCAAUCUAUUUUUAUGUAGUCAUUAUACUGAGUGUGCAGUGGUACCUAAUUUUGGUUUCAGCGACUAAGGGGUUGAGC
rnacentral:lncRNA from 1 species